rnacentral:rRNA from 1 species
UGGGGAAUUUUGGACAAUGGGCGAAAGCCUGAUCCAGCAAUGCCGCGUGUGUGAAGAAGGCCUUCGGGUUGUAAAGCACUUUUGUCCGGAAAGAAAUCCUUGGCUCUAAUACAGUCGGGGGAUGACGGUACCGGAAGAAUAAGCACCGGCUAACUACGUGCCAGCAGCCGCGGUAAUACGUAGGGUGCAAGCGUUAAUCGGAAUUACUGGGCGUAAAGCGUGCGCAGGCGGUUUGCUAAGACCGAUGUGAAAUCCCCGGGCUCAACCUGGGAACUGCAUUGGUGACUGGCAGGCUAGAGUAUGGCAGAGGGGGGUAGAAUUCCACGUGUAGCAGUGAAAUGCGUAGAGAUGUGGAGGAAUACCGAUGGCGAAGGCAGCCCCCUGGGCCAAUACUGACGCUCAUGCACGAAAGCGUGGGGGAGCAAACAGGAUUAGAUACCCCUGGUAGUCCACGCCCUAAAACGAUGGUCAACUAGUUGUUGGGGAUUCAUUUCCUUAGUAACGUAGCUAACGCGUGAAGUUGACCGCCU